UGCUAAAGAGGAGGAAGGAAUGGGCAACCGGUAGGUCAGCAUGCCCCGAAUAUCCCGGGCUACACGCGAGCUACAAUGGUUGGUACAAUGGGUAUCUACCCCGAAAGGGGACGGGAAUACUCCUAAAACCAAUCUUAGUUCGGAUUGAGGGCUGCAACUCGCCCUCAUGAAGCUGGAAUCCGUAGUAAUCGCGUUUCAACAGAACGCGGUGAAUACGUCCCUGCUCCUU
rnacentral:rRNA from 1 species